GGUUAAGCGACUAAGCGUACACGGUGGAUGCCCUGGCAGUCAGAGGCGAUGAAGGGCGUGCUAAUCUGCGAUAAGCGCCGGUAAGGUGAUAUGAACCGUUAUAACCGGCGAUACCCGAAUGGGGAAACCCAGUGUGACUCGUCACACUAUCAUUAACUGAAUCCAUAGGUUAAUGAGGCGAACCGGGGGAACUGAAACAUCUAAGUACCCCGAGGAAAAGAAAUCAACCGAGAUUCCCCCAGUAGCGGCGAGCGAACGGGGAGGAGCCCAGAGCCUGAAUCAGCAUGUGUGUUAGUGGAAGCGUCUGGAAAGGCGCGCGAUACAGGGUGACAGCCCCGUACACAAAAGCGCAUGUGCUGUGAGCUCGAUGAGUAGGGCGGGACACGUGGUAUCCUGUCUGAAUAUGGGGGGACCAUCCUCCAAGGCUAAAUACUCCUGACUGACCGAUAGUGAACCAGUACCGUGAGGGAAAGGCGAAAAGAACCCCGGCGAGGGGAGUGAAAAAGAACCUGAAACCGUGUACGUACAAGCAGUGGGAGCACAGGUUUACCUGUGUGACUGCGUACCUUUUGUAUAAUGGGUCAGCGACUUAUAUUCUGUAGCAAGGUUAACCGCAUAGGGGAGCCGGAGGGAAACCGAGUCUUAAUUGGGCGUUAAGUUGCAGGGUAUAGACCCGAAACCCGGUGAUCUAGCCAUGGGCAGGUUGAAGGUUGGGUAACACUAACUGGAGGACCGAACCGACUAAUGUUGAAAAAUUAGCGGAUGACCUGUGGCUGGGGGUGAAAGGCCAAUCAAACCGGGAGAUAGCUGGUUCUCCCCGAAAGCUAUUUAGGUAGCGCCUCGUGAAUUCAUCUCCGGGGGUAGAGCACUGUUUCGGCUAGGGGGCCAUCCCGGCUUACCAACCCGAUGCAAACUGCGAAUACCGGAGAAUGUUAUCACGGGAGACACACGGCGGGUGCUAACGUCCGUCGUGAAGAGGGAAACAACCCAGACCGCCAGCUAAGGUCCCAAAGUCAUGGUUAAGUGGGAAACGAUGUGGGAAGGCCCAGACAGCCAGGAUGUUGGCUUAGAAGCAGCCAUCAUUUAAAGAAAGCGUAAUAGCUCACUGGUCGAGUCGGCCUGCGCGGAAGAUGUAACGGGGCUAAACCAUGCACCGAAGCUGCGGCAGCGACGCUGAUGCGUUGUUGGGUAGGGGAGCGUUCUGUAAGCCUGUGAAGGUGGCCUGUGAGGGUUGCUGGAGGUAUCAGAAGUGCGAAUGCUGACAUAAGUAACGAUAAAGCGGGUGAAAAGCCCGCUCGCCGGAAGACCAAGGGUUCCUGUCCAACGUUAAUCGGGGCAGGGUGAGUCGACCCCUAAGGCGAGGCCGAAAGGCGUAGUCGAUGGGAAACGGGUUAAUAUUCCCGUACUUGGUGUUACUGCGAAGGGGGGACGGAGAAGGCUAUGUUGGCCGGGCGACGGUUGUCCCGGUUUAAGCGUGUAGGUGUGUGUUCCAGGUAAAUCCGGUUCACUUUAACACUGAGGCGUGAUGACGAGGCACUACGGUGCUGAAGCAACAAAUGCCCUGCUUCCAGGAAAAGCCUCUAAGCAUCAGGUAACAUCAAAUCGUACCCCAAACCGACACAGGUGGUCAGGUAGAGAAUACCAAGGCGCUUGAGAGAACUCGGGUGAAGGAACUAGGCAAAAUGGUGCCGUAACUUCGGGAGAAGGCACGCUGACAUGUAGGUGAAGUGAUUUACUCACGGAGCUGAAGUCAGUCGAAGAUACCAGCUGGCUGCAACUGUUUAUUAAAAACACAGCACUGUGCAAACACGAAAGUGGACGUAUACGGUGUGACGCCUGCCCGGUGCCGGAAGGUUAAUUGAUGGGGUCAGCGCAAGCGAAGCUCCUGAUCGAAGCCCCGGUAAACGGCGGCCGUAACUAUAACGGUCCUAAGGUAGCGAAAUUCCUUGUCGGGUAAGUUCCGACCUGCACGAAUGGCGUAAUGAUGGCCAGGCUGUCUCCACCCGAGACUCAGUGAAAUUGAACUCGCUGUGAAGAUGCAGUGUACCCGCGGCAAGACGGAAAGACCCCGUGAACCUUUACUAUAGCUUGACACUGAACAUUGAGCCUUGAUGUGUAGGAUAGGUGGGAGGCUUUGAAGUGUGGACGCCAGUCUGCAUGGAGCCGACCUUGAAAUACCACCCUUUAAUGUUUGAUGUUCUAACGUGGACCCGUUACCCGGGUUGCGGACAGUGUCUGGUGGGUAGUUUGACUGGGGCGGUCUCCUCCUAAAGAGUAACGGAGGAGCACGAAGGUUGGCUAAUCCUGGUCGGACAUCAGGAGGUUAGUGCAAUGGCAUAAGCCAGCUUGACUGCGAGCGUGACGGCGCGAGCAGGUGCGAAAGCAGGUCAUAGUGAUCCGGUGGUUCUGAAUGGAAGGGCCAUCGCUCAACGGAUAAAAGGUACUCCGGGGAUAACAGGCUGAUACCGCCCAAGAGUUCAUAUCGACGGCGGUGUUUGGCACCUCGAUGUCGGCUCAUCACAUCCUGGGGCUGAAGUAGGUCCCAAGGGUAUGGCUGUUCGCCAUUUAAAGUGGUACGCGAGCUGGGUUUAGAACGUCGUGAGACAGUUCGGUCCCUAUCUGCCGUGGGCGCUGGAGAACUGAGGGGGGCUGCUCCUAGUACGAGAGGACCGGAGUGGACGCAUCACUGGUGUUCGGGUUGUCAUGCCAAUGGCACUGCCCGGUAGCUAAAUGCGGAAGAGAUAAGUGCUGAAAGCAUCUAAGCACGAAACUUGCCCCGAGAUGAGUUCUCCCUGAGACUUAGAGUCUCCUGAAGGAACGUUGAAGACGACGACGUUGAUAGGCCGGGUGUGUAAGCGCAGCGAUGCGUUGAGCUAACCGGUACUAAUGAACCGUGAGGCUUAACCUUAC
rnacentral:rRNA from 1 species